rnacentral:rRNA from 1 species
UUAUCGUUUAUUUGAUAGUCCCUUGACUACUUGGAUACCUGUGGUAAUUCUAGAGCUAAUACAUGCUAAAAACCCCGACUUCGGAAGGGGUGUAUUUAUUAGAUACAAAAUCAAUGCCCUUCGGGGCUUCUUGGUGAUUCAUAAUAACUUAACGAAUCGCAUGGCCUUGCGCCGGCGAUGGUUCAUUCAAAUUUCUGCCCUAUCAACUUUCGAUGGUAGGAUAGUGGCCUACCAUGGUUUCUACGGGUAGACCGUUGCCCGUCAAUUCGGCUGUCGGGGGGGUGGAUCCCUCCCGGCGACACCGCUGGCUCAGAAGACGUCGUCCCUUGCGAGGGCGAUCGAUUUUGAGGCGAGCUCUCGCGUGAGAGCCGCCGAAACGCAUGCAAAGUGGUGGGCCUCUUCCGGGAGGCUUUUGGCUCAUGCUAUCGUCCGGCUACCGCCGGGGUCGCUCGAGAGAACGGGGAAUUAGGGUUCUAUUCCGGAGAGGGAGCCUGAGAAACGGCUACCACAUCCAAGGAAGGCAGCAGGCGCGCAAAUUACCCAAUCCCGACACGGGGAGGUAGUGACAAUAAAUAUUGAUGCAGAGCUCUUUUGGGUUUUGCAAUUGAAAUGAGUACAAUUUAAAUUCCUUAACGAGGAACAAUUGGAGGGCAAGUCUGGUGAACGUUAAUGAGCAAUGCUUGGCACCAGAAAAUACAGGCUUCAUCCCCCCCCAGGGUCCGGGGGGCGAUUGCGCC